UCCCAUAACGAGCGCAACCCCUAUUGUUAGUUGCCAGCGGGUAAUGCCGGGAUCUCUAACGAAACUGCCGGUGUAACCGAGGAAGGUGGGGAUGACGUCAAAUCAGCACGGCCCUUAUGUCCAGGGCUACACACGUGUUACAAUGGCCGAUACAACGGGCAGCCACCUGGUGACAGGGAGCUAAUCCUAAAAGUCGGUCUCAGUUCGGAUCGAAGUCUGCAACCCGACUUCGUGAAGCUGGAUUCGCUAGUAAUCGCAGAUCAGCCAUGCUGCGGUGAAUACGUUCCCGGGCCUU
rnacentral:rRNA from 1 species